rnacentral:tRNA from 1 species
AGGAAUUUAGGAUUACACAAACCAAGAGCCUUCAAAGCCCUAAACAAGAGAAAACCCUCUUAAUUUCUA